AUGCAAGUCGAACGGUAACAGGUUUUGCUUGCACAUCGCUGACGAGUGGCGGACGGGUGAGUAAUGCUUGGGAACUUGCCUUUGCGAGGGGGAUAACAGUUGGAAACGACUGCUAAUACCGCAUAAUGUCUUCGGACCAAACGGGGCUUAGGCUCCGGCGCAAAGAGAGGCCCAAGUGAGAUUAGCUAGUUGGUAAGGUAACGGCUUACCAAGGCGACGAUCUCUAGCUGUUCUGAGAGGAAGAUCAGCCACACUGGGACUGAGACACGGCCCAGACUCCUACGGGAGGCAGCAGUGGGGAAUAUUGCACAAUGGGGGAAACCCUGAUGCAGCCAUGCCGCGUGUGUGAAGAAGGCCUUCGGGUUGUAAAGCACUUUCAGUUGUGAGGAAAAGUUAGUAGUUAAUACCUGCUAGCCGUGACGUUAACAACAGAAGAAGCACCGGCUAACUCCGUGCCAGCAGCCGCGGUAAUACGGAGGGUGCGAGCGUUAAUCGGAAUUACUGGGCGUAAAGCGCACGCAGGCGGUUUGUUAAGCUAGAUGUGAAAGCCCCGGGCUCAACCUGGGAUGGUCAUUUAGAACUGGCAGACUAGAGUCUUGGAGAGGGGAGUGGAAUUCCAGGUGUAGCGGUGAAAUGCGUAGAUAUCUGGAGGAACAUCAGUGGCGAAGGCGACUCCCUGGGCAAAGACUGACGCUCAUGUGCGAAAGUGUGGGUAGCGAACAGGAUUAGAUACCUGGGUAGUCCACACCGUAAACGCUGUCUACUAGCUGUGUGUGCUUUAA
rnacentral:rRNA from 1 species